AGUGAACGCUGGCGGCAGGCUUAACACAUGCAAGUCGAACGGCAGCACAGUAAGAGCUUGCUCUUACGGGUGGCGAGUGGCGGACGGGUGAGGAAUACAUCGGAAUCUACUUUUUCGUGGGGGAUAACGUAGGGAAACUUACGCUAAUACCGCAUACGACCUACGGGUGAAAGCAGGGGAUCGUCGGACCUUGCGCGAUUGAAUGAGCCGAUGUCGGAUUAGCUAGUUGGCGGGGUAAAGGCCCACCAAGGCGACGAUCCGUAGCUGGUCUGAGAGGAUGAUCAGCCACACUGGAACUGAGACACGGUCCAGACUCCUACGGGAGGCAGCAGUGGGGAAUAUUGGACAAUGGGCGCAAGCCUGAUCCAGCCAUACCGCGUGCGUGAAGAAGGCCUUCGGGUUGUAAAGCCCUUUUGUUGGGAAAGAAACGCAUCAGGUUAAUACCCCGCUGUAAUGACGGUACCGAAAGAAUAAGCACCGGCUAACUACGUG
rnacentral:rRNA from 1 species